GGCCCUCAAACCCCACAACAGGACUUAGUUAACCUCACCUUCAAGGUGUACAAUAAUAGAGUAGAGGCAGCCAAGUAGCAAUGUAUUUCUGAGUUGCAAUUCCUUGCCUCCACUGUGAGACAAACCCCAGCCACAACUUCAGCACACAAAAAAUUCCAAAUGCCUGAACUGCAGUGGCCAGGCAUUCCUCCAGAACCUCCUCCCCCAGGAGCUUGCUACAAGUGCCAAAAAUCUGGCCACCGAGCCAAGGAAUGCCCACAGCCCGGGAUUCCUCCUAAGCCGUGUCCCAUCUGUGUGGGACCCCACUGAAAAUCAGACUGUUCAACUCACCUGGUAGCCACUUCCAGAGCCCCUGGAACUCUGGCCCAAGGCUCUCUGACUCCUUCCCAGAUCUUCUCGGCUUAGCGGCUGAAGACUGACACUGCCAGAUCGCCUCGGAAGCCCCCUAGACCAUCACGGAUGCCGAGCUUCGGGUAACUCUCACAGUGGAGGACAACUUCCAUCUUCACCAUGAGCUGGGAGGCAGGAGGAUAAUCUGGCUUCAGGAAGGAAGAAAAUGUUUGUAGUUCUGGGAACUCCAGCUCAUUUUUACCACUGCCUGACAGCCUCCACAGCAGGGUUUGUUUGAACCCCAAGGGAAAGGAUAUCUCAGCAGCUUCAGGGAGUGACUGCGUACUUUGGUGAAAAGCCCCAGCGAGCUCUUGGUUUAAGCUAAAAGGUCCAGCACGCCCACUACAAAAUCCUUGCAUUGCAUAGAUAACUUCCUGUAAUCGUUCUAACAGAAUAGAGAGAAAUCAGCGGUAUGUCACAUGGAGGCCCGCAGAUUGGCUUGCCCAGCAUAGCAGUGUCGAUCAGCAACUGCUCACCACAUGUGACCUUAUGGAGCACAUUGGAUGCACUUAUGGAACGCAGCAGGAUGUGCUGGGUGCAGAAGGCGGGGCAAUUUCUCUUGACACGUGACCUGAAGGACAUUUUCUCUAGGUCAGCAUGUGUGAAGGUGUGGUCCAUGGGCCACCUGCAUCAGAGUCACCUUAGCUGCGUGCUAAAGUUGCAGAUUCCCAGGUCCCACCCUAGACUUACUGAGUCAGAAUACCUGGUGGUGGGGCCAAGAAAUCUGUCUUUUAACUUUGCUCUCUAAUGAUGUGGAUGCCUGCCACAGCCCAUCCUGGGCUCUUUCAAAAUGGCAUUUUUCUAUGCCCAAUUCUGAGUCAGUUCUGAGGGAGGAAUAAUAAGGACAUGAACUUUUAGGGCUGAUGUAAAUAACACUUCGCUCAUUUACCACUGAUCUAUAUUGGUGACUGCUGCACACAGGAAUUUUACUGGAAAGAUGGAUAAUAUGCUAAAAUUGGAAAAAAAAAUUGCACAGGUGUGCUUUUUUGUGUGCCAGAAAAUCGGCUUGUAAAUUAUACAUUUAAAAAUCAAAUGUAAUUUAACUUUAACAGGAUCUUUUCUUCCUAGAAAUCCUUUUGUAUGGCAAAUCAUGGCUCCUUAAAUCACCUGCCUGUUGAAUAAACAUUUUUAGCCCUUG
rnacentral:lncRNA from 10 species